rnacentral:snRNA from 1 species
GGAUGUGAGGGCGAUCUGGCUGUGACAUCUGUCACCCCAUUGAUCACCAGGAUUAAUUCGGCUGUUCUGACUGGCUAGGCGGGUGUCACCUUACUCCCUCACCGCUCCAUGUGCGUCCCUCCCGAAGCCGCGCGCUCGGUCGAAGAGGACGACCAUCCCUGAUAGAGAAGGACCGGUCUUCGGUCAAGGUUAUACGAGUAGCUGCGCUCCCCUGCUAGAACCUCCAAACAAGCUCUCAAGAAAACUGGAGAAUUACAUCACAUUGCAUAUGUGACAUCCUAGUAGUUUCCGGGAUUCUGCACACUUACAA